rnacentral:rRNA from 1 species
CCUACGGGGGGCAGCAGUCGAGAAUCAUUCACAAUGGGGGAAACCCUGAUGGUGCGACGCCGCGUGGGGGAAUGAAGGUCUUCGGAUUGUAAACCCCUGUCAUGUGGGAGCAAAUUAAAAAGAUAGUACCACAAGAGGAAGAGACGGCUAACUCUGUGCCAGCAGCCGCGGUACUACAGAGGUCUCAAGCGGUGUUCGGAAUCACUGGGCGUAAAGCGUGCGUAGGCUGUUUCGUAAGUCGUGUGUGAAAGGCGCGGGCUCAACCCGCGGACGGCACAUGAUACUGCGAGACUAGAGUAAUGGAAGGGGAACCGGAAUUCUCGGUGUAGCAGUGAAAUGCGUAGAUAUCGAGAGGAACACUCGUGGCGAAGGCGGGUUCCUGGACAUUAACUGACGCUGAGGCACGAAGGCCAGGGGAGCGAAAGGGAUUAGAUACCCGAGUAGUC